GACGAACGCUGGCGGCGUGCUUAACACAUGCAAGUCGAACGGUGAACCGGGCUUCGGCCCGGGGAUCAGUGGCGAACGGGUGCGUAACACGUGGGCAACCUGCCUCAGACACUGGGGAUAACCCCGGGAACCGGGGCUAAUACCGGAUACUCCGACCGGACUGCAUGAUCCGGCCGGGAAAGCUCCGACGGUCUGAGAUGGGCCCGCGGCCUAUCAGCUUGUUGGUGGGGUAACGCCCACCAAGGCGACGACGGGAGCUGGUCUGAGAGGACGACCAGCCACACUGGAACUGAGACACGGUCC
rnacentral:rRNA from 1 species